AUCCUGAGGACAAAAAAGCACUUGAGGUUCCAGUUUUAUUCCUUCUUGAAUGUACAAACACACUUCUCACCUGUCUUUCACGACCUGAGAUAUCACCCCCUCAACCACCGCACAAGGCUACAACCUCUGGUGCAUCUUUAGGACAAGUUGUGAUUGUGUGCUCGCCACCAGCUUACUGCUCAAGUCUUCUCAUUGGCGUAAUUUGGCAGCGGCUUUGUCCAUCUCUCAUUGCGCUUCUUGGUUCUCCUGUCUCACACCGAUUAUCCAGACCUGUUGGCAGAGCUGAAGGGCAAAUGGGAAGAGGAACUGGAUGUAUUGCUCAUCCACGUCCAUUAUUUAACAACCAGCAAGCUCGAGCUAUUUAUAAUAUUGCUUGUAAAUUGGUUGUGACAAUGGGUGGUGUAGGUGAGAUGAGACCAGUAUUGGAAAGUUUGUUCCACCGAAUGUUGCUCUA